CCUAAAGGCGUAAUGAAAGUGAAGGUUGUCCUUGUGACAACUGAGAGAAGAUAGGUUACGUUACGAUGUAAUCUCGCAUUCUCGGGACGUCUUAUUCUCAUUGAGAAAAGGCGUACCUAGAGCGUACACGUUGGGACCCGAAAGAUGGUGAACUAUGCCUGGUCAGGAUGAAGUCAGGGGAAACCCUGAUGGAAGUCCGUAGCGAUUCUGACGUGCAAAUCGAUCGUCGGAACUGGGUAUAGGGGCGAAAGACUAAUCGAACCAUCUAGUAGCUGGUUCCCUCCGAAGUUUCCCUCAGGAUAGCUGGCAUUUAUUUAAACGAGUCUCAUCUGGUAAAGCGAAUGAUUAGAGGUCUUGGGAUCGAAACGAUCUCAACCUAUUCUCAAACUUUAAAUGGGUGAGAUCUCUAGCUUGCUUUAAUUAUGAAGCUAUGAGAUAAAUUAUAUAAUUGGAUCAAAGUGCCAAGUGG
rnacentral:rRNA from 1 species